rfam:Canis lupus familiaris chromosome X, whole genome shotgun sequence.
GCCUGGGUGGCUCAGUAGUUGAGCGUCUGCCUUCUGCUCAGGUCAUGAUCUUGGGGUCCUGGGAUCAAGUCCCACACCAGGCU